CCCUUAGAUGUUCUGGGCUGCACGCGCGCUACACUGAUGCACUCAACGAGUUUUCGACCUUGCCCGAUAGGGCUGGGUAAUCUUUUUAAAAUGCAUCGUGAUGGGGAUAGAUUAUUGCAAUUAUUAAUCUUCAACGAGGAAUUCCUAGUAAGCGCGAGUCAUCAGCUCGUGCUGAUUACGUCCCUGCCCUUUGUACACACCGCCCGUCGCUCCUACCGAUUGAGUGCUCAGGUGAAUAAUUCGGACUGCAGCAAUGUUUGGAUCCCGAACGUUGCAGCGGAAAGUUUAGUGAACCUUAUCACUUAGAGGAAGGAGAAGUCGUAACA
rnacentral:rRNA from 1 species